AUAUAUAUAUAUAUAUAUAACUCUCCCCAAACCAUUAUGUCAUGAUGGAAAGUUGCUUCCAUAAUGUUUCCACGUCAUUAUCCUCAGCUCCCAAUUCCUUAUCAUCAUCUUAUCUUGAUUGGGUACUGCACCCCAAGCUUGGCACUCACUUGCUCCUGUCAUCGAGGAUAAAGUUGUGGUGCCCUCUGGUGAAGCUUUGCUGCCCAUAGGUCUUGAGGAUGGCCAUCUUUCAUGAGAAGCCAAUGAAAAUGAAGAAGGACGAUGAUGGUUGGAGAGAGCAAGGAGGCCGCAACUUUUGAGAUGACCCCUACUAGUUAUCCUCCUUCCCCUCUCGCGGCUCUACCCCCGCCAUGUGCGCCACCGCCAACGUCUUUCUUGCCGGGAAGAUCCUUACCUUCGAUGCACCUUCCCUCAGACGAGCCAAAACCCCAGCAGGCUCCCACCGGCGCUGCCGGUUCUGGGGCGAAGUAUCAGAGGCAGAACAGGGUUCAUGAAAUAAAAAUAUUAUUAAUAAUUAAAGGAUUGUAAGUAUAAUAAUAAUAAUAAUAAUAAUAAAA